rnacentral:rRNA from 1 species
CCUACGGGGGGCUGCAGUGGGGAAUAUUGGACAAUGGGGGCAACCCUGAUCCAGCCAUGCCGCGUGUGUGAAGAAGGCCCUCGGGUUGUAAAGCACUUUCAGUGAGGAAGAACGCGUGGUGGUUAAUACCCAUCAGGAAAGACAUCACUCACAGAAGAAGCACCGGCUAACUCCGUGCCAGCAGCCGCGGUAAUACGGAGGGUGCGAGCGUUAAUCGGAAUUACUGGGCGUAAAGCGCGCGUAGGUGGCUUGAUAAGCCGGUUGUGAAAGCCCCGGGCUCAACCUGGGAACGGCAUCCGGAACUGUCAAGCUAGAGUGCAGGAGAGGAAGGUAGAAUUCCCGGUGUAGCGGUGAAAUGCGUAGAGAUCGGGAGGAAUACCAGUGGCGAAGGCGGCCUUCUGGACUGACACUGACACUGAGGUGCGAAAGCGUGGGUAGCAAACAGGAUUAGAUACCCUUGUAGUC